rnacentral:lncRNA from 10 species
AUAUAAUAAAAGCUACCACCUGCAGUUCUCACAGCAGUAGAAUUCCAAAUCAGCCGCUGCAAAAUCAGCAACAGCAGCUGUAACCUGGUUUUUAGAGAAGUUGAAAUCAAUUUUCACAGGAUACAUGUGCAGGACGUGCUGAUUAGAUUUUUGCCAGUGAAGAGUGACAAAAAGGAAAAUUAUUCCCAUGAGAAAAAGUGGAUCUCUGAGAGCAAAAGCAGCAGAGACAUGCCUAGAGGAAGUUCUCAUGCAAUAAAAUGCCUGAUUAGUUCUUAGUUUUGUCUUUCCAGAUUCGGCAUACUAGGGAGAGAAAGAACAUGGAAGGCACUGUACAAGAGUGGACACCGACACAAGUGUUACAGACUGAAUGUCCAUGUCCCCUCUGAGGCCCUAUGUUGAAAUCUUCACCAUUAAAGUGAUGGUACAAGGAGCUGGGUCCUUUGGGAGGUGAUUAGGUCAUAAGAGUGUAGCCCUUGUGAAUGGGAUGAGUGCCUGUAUAAGAAACAUGAGCGCUCAUGCACUCUCUCUCUUUCUCUGUCUCUGUCUCUGUGUUCUCGGCCAUAUGAGGAUACAAUGAGAAGAUAUCCCUCUGUAAGUCGGCGAAUGGGCCCUCAUCAGACAUUGGAUCUGUGUGCACCUUGAUCAAGAAUUUCCCAGCUUCCAAAACUGCAAGAAAUAAAUGUUUGUUGUUUAAGCCACCCAGUUUGUGGAAAGUUGUUAAAGUAACCCAAACUAAUUAAGAUGAGGACGAUCAAAAAGUUCAAAGGAUUUGAGAAAUAAAGCACUGGGGCAGAUUGUAACUGUAACUGUGGUCGGCUAAUUGGCCCUUAUGUUUUUUUUUUUUUUUU